GCAGACAAACCGCUUCUCUUCCACAGACCACCUACUGCCAGACCUCAACGCCUCACAAAACUCUCACCCACCUACUGCUUUUAGCUCACAUUCCAGGAAUUCAGAUGAAGUGAAGUGCUCUCAUGGGGACCAGGCAUGGUUAUGCCAGUCCACUGCCCUGCAAGCCUCAAGGGAAGCCAACUGCCCUUCAGCAAGUCACACCUGCCUUGGUGGAGGCCUUGAUUGGAAGUGCCACACGCUACAUGUCCAGUCCUGAGCGGGAGAAUCGGUGUAGGGACGUUCUGGGGAUGCCAGCUGUGGCCAGAUCAGGUCCAACUACAGAAGAAUAAUGAAGACUCCACCUGAGGGCUGGAAAAACAAAACCUCAAGUGUGAGGCAGCCAACCUGUUACCUCGAGGGACUGUUCCGCAGCACAGCGGGGCCAUGGGAACAGCAGCAGACACCCCGACCUCCUCGCUACCUAUCAACUAUGGCCUGAGUAUGAUAGACUUAUCCAUGGUUUAAACAGAAUAUAUUGUUUUCAACUUUGAAAAUAAGAAUAUGGAAAUCCAGAUGCAGAAAUGUGAGAAGAAAAGAGAGUAAACAGAGUGGAAGGUCAGGUGACCUUGCCUGUCAUGAAUAUGAAGGUCAAGGUGUGUGAAUUGUGAAAUUUCCAAGAGAACCUCACUGAAGCAAAGAAUGAAGAAAGAAUUGCAUUUGGCCCUGGGAGGGUGCAGGGGUGAAUGGUGCAGGAGCUAAAUCUUUAUCAUACCCAGAAAUCAACAGCCACUAUUUGAAAUCAUCUAAAUUCGUGCUGCUAACCUUCAGUGUACACACGAAUCACCUGGGGAUCUUACUAAAAGCUAGUUUCUGAUUCACUAAAUCUGUGUGUGGUGGAAGUUGAGGGCAGAGAAGCUCCCGAGGGUGUCAAGCUGACUCUGAACCCGACUUUGAGGGUUAAGGUCCCAAAUGGCAUCGCCAGCACCAGGGACAGACACUAAAAUUGUAGAAAUCGUCUCAAGAAAUGAACAGCCUCUAAGUCAGAUGUUGAAUGUGAAAGAAAUCAGGGUGUGUACGUGUGUGUGCAUUUGUGUGUGCACGUGUGUGCCUGUGUUUGUCUCUGUGCAUGUAUGUUUCUAUGUGUGCACAUGUGUGUAUGUGUCUGUACAUGUGUGUUUCUGUGUGUGUGCCUGUGUGUGUAUUGGCUUAGAUCUGUUCGAGACUUUUUAUUUGAUGAGAUCGAUAUAUGCCACCACUUUUGGAAAGGACAACGUAUAUACAAAGACAAUGAUUACUUAUGUAAUGUGAACGGAGUCUCUCUUCGACCCUCAAAUGUUUUGUAGAAAGUAAUGAUGAUGGUGAGGAUUAUAACAAUGCGUGUUUCCUGAAUAACAAAAAGGAGUUACAGUACACUUUUACCUAUUUUUCCAAAGCGCUAGGUCAAGUUUAGCUAAAGUCUGCUUGGAAUUAAUGAGGCUUGGAAAUGUAAAAUCUCAGAGCAGUAAACAUCUCUUUGUCCUAAUGUUCUUAUGUAGCCAUUAAAACUUAAAUAUUAAUACUAAAAUAACUACUGUAAAAUAAAGUAAAAAUGUACGAGAAUAAUCAAAAUAAUUCUGAAACACCCACA
ensembl:lncRNA novel transcript